UUUACAUGCAAAGUGUUCAUUGUGCAGAACAUGCUCUGAAAUGUAAGCUACUCAAAUAAUCAGAGUGAAGCAGUCUGGUCUUCAGGAUUGUGAUUUGGAAGACAAAAGCUAAAGAUUUAGAGAAUGACUACUGCAGUGUUAAUACAUAAAUUCACCAUAAUGAUGUAAAUCUAUGGAACUGGAAGUAAAAGUCAGUAAUCAAGAAGUCUGCUAAGAUGUGGAGGUGGCAUUAAUCUGCUUCAGGAAUGUCAAGAAAAGAAAGGGGAAAAUGGAGUCUAAAAGGAAAAUGUCCAAAUAUUUCAGACAGGUUUUCUGAAGGAUGUAUGAAACCCCACUCAAUAAAUACUAUAGAAAUAGCUCAAAUUAAGUAGAAAUAUAGAAGCUACAUAAUUUGAAAUACUCGGCAGUCCAAUAAUAUUUCUUAAAUUAUACAAUUAGGGUAAAAUGAAUAUUAUGACUACUGGUACUCAUCUACUGCAAAUCAACAUACAAGAUUAUAUUUUCAAAUAUAUAACCAUUACAGGAUGAGAUCAGAUGUUCCACACAUUGUAACUGAGGACAGUAAGUACCCUAAGCAGCACAUGUGACUGAUAUUUACUUCCAGUAUAAGGCACAGGGAUUUGUACAAGGUUACAUUAUGGGAAAUGGCACUCAAAAGCCCUGAAUCUCUCAACAAAAUUCAUAGAUACACUGAUGGUGUUCUGGUAACAGAAGCAGCCUUUUAGAGGUUAUGAUGACAGUCAGAAGUAUAAAGUUCCCAAGAGAGAACAAAACAUAAAAUCAAACAGAUUCUAAAGUUCUUAAUCAUGGACAAAAUGUAAAUUACUUUCAGUGAUACUCCUACCUGAAAGGUGAUGAUUGUAAAUCACUGCAAAAAUCUAAAGAUAUGUCUACUAGUUAUAUUUCAAAAUGUUACACAAAAAGCUAUCAAGGCUUCUAAAAACACGAUCAGGAAAAUAUUGUUACAAUUUGAAGGUUCCAUACAACAAAACAAUGCUGCUUAUUUACAAUAUGGUUUUCAAUAAAUCUGGUAUAGAAGGGACCAUAAAAAUAAAAAGUGCUCAUAAUUCUUGACAUUAUCA